rnacentral:misc_RNA from 1 species
UUCUUAUACAUGUAUAUAUUCUUUAAAAUCCUAACUUUGUCUCCACCUUAUUUCUUCCUCUCUAUCAAGUCUGCCGCCCGCCUCUCCCACCAUUCUCUCCUUAUUUCGUCUCUAACCAGUGCCACUCACCUCCCUUGAUUUCUCUUCUCCUCUUGUUUUCUCUGCUCCAUUAAUUUUUCCUCCCCUUCAUUUCCUCACUGCCCGACGCCCACCUUCCCUUCUCUUUUGUUUUGGUCUCAACUCUGCAUGUGCUUUUUUAGAGCCCAACGCCGUUGCCCGUAGAGCCACAACAUCAGCGCCACAGAUCCACGCAGCAGUGUUUUUUGCAAAUCCAACGGUGCUCUUUCAUUUAUUUUUUAUUUUAUUU